CCGCCGUCCGUUGCGCGUGUC
rnacentral:siRNA from 1 species